GGCAUCCUGCGUUCCCCCCCUGCGUGGACCCUGAGGUGCCUGGUCCUCCUGUUCCCCCCCGGCUGGAUCUGCUCCAGCCCAGGGACCCAGACCCCCCACCCCAGGACCUCCCACUGCCCCCCUUGGGCCACCCCAGCCUGAACCCCAGUGACUGGAUCCGGCAUCGGCCACUGCCCCCCCACCCCAGGCCCCGGGGGCCCCCUGCCCCACCCCUCUCCCAGGGGCCUGAGGAGCCCAGCUGACAGGGGGCCAGGUGGAGGGGUUGACAGCACCGGAGACACAGUCACCUCCCCAGGACUCCCAGCCAGACCCUUGCAGACCCCGCCAGGACCCACGGCCAGCGAGGGGGAGGGGUGACCUUAUACUGACCCUGGGGCCUCAACCCAUGGCCCCCUAUGGACGGCUGAGUCCCAGGCCCCCAGUCAGCACUGCACAGAGACCCCCCGACUGAUGACCCAGAGACCAGCCAGACCCCAGAAAGCAGUGACGCUUGUGGGAUCCGAGGCUGGGGGGAUUCAGCGGCACCAGCGUGGGGGCUGGGGAGUUGUUUAACUGGGGGUGUCUGGACUCCUGUACCUCAAAGAGAAGCAG